CUGCUUGGGACUCAGGCUGGAUUUCAUCUGUCUGCAUUAACUACCUCCUGGCUCAGAAACGGGGGGCAUCAGAGUAGAAUUUCUUCCAGCAACAGACAGACUUCAGGGCUCUACUUUUUAAAUCCUCCCAGAUUCAUGGACCGCAGGGGAAGAGAACAAGAAGUCACCUAGAAAGCAAGCGCUCCCUGCAGACCAGCGCCACGUACAGGCUGCUGGGGGAACAGCCAGAUGCCUGCCUUCUCCCAUGAGUCAGCACCAUCAUCCAUGGACUGCGGGGGAAGGGAACAAGAAGUUACCAAGAAAAAUUACAAAAUACAAUUUAAUGCUUGUAGUGUUUAGUGUUUCACCGACUUUGCAGGUCUAAAGCCAGUAGUCUAAUUAGAAAACUGCCUUUGGAAUUGAAAUAUGUUUCACACAUGAGGGUAACAAUACGCAAUAUAGCAUCUAUGGGGGAUCUCCUUCCGAAGGUGGUAGCCACUGAUAAUUCCCUAUCAUCUUGUUUUGAAGUCCUGUAUCAUGUUCUCUGUUUUGUUGGGUUGGAUUUUAUUCUGUUUUGUUUUGUUUGACUUUAAUAUAUCUGAUGGCAUGGGUAGCUAUUUCAAAGAUAAAAAUAUACACUAUGGUGGCCAUUCUGGAUUUACUAUUAUCCUGGUUUGAAGUCCUUGAUUACAUUCCUUGUUUCAUUUUUAUUGGUUUUAUUCUGUUCUGUUUUGUUUGAUUUUUCUUAUGUCUAAAGGUAUCUGCAGUUAUUUUGAAGACAAGAGGCAAUACGGUAAUUAUUGUUGAUUUUGUAUUGUUUUGAAGUCCUGUGUCACUUACACUGGCUUGUUUUGCUUGGCUUUAAUCUGUUUUGUUUUGUUUGGUUUUGCUCUAUUUAAAUAAAAAAAGAGAAACGCU